GGGAGGAUGGCCGAGUGGUUAUGGCGCUAGUUUCAGGAUUUGGCCUCAAGCUAUCGCUGAAGAUCGAUCAGUUUACUAGUUUCUUCUGAUUCGUGGGUUCGAGUCCCACUCCUCUCA
rnacentral:tRNA from 1 species